rnacentral:lncRNA from 1 species
GAUGGCGACACGCUGAAUCGACACUUCCUGAUCAAACGCGCCACUGACCAUUCUCAUAGGAGACAAUGGGGUGACGUCAUCGAUGGCGUCAUUCAUUUUUUUUACAGUCUAUGGCAGGUCCACAUACUUGGAAAAAAAGGGGGGCGGGGGGUUACUCACUUUGGCCAACGAGAUUCUCGCGAAACAUUGCUGUAUCAGCGCCAUUUUGGGAAGGAGACAGGCAAAAGCGGCAAAAAUUAAAAAAUAAGCGAGGAAUUUGCAAACACUUAAACAAGUUAAUGAGAUGGUCAGUGUGAUACGGUUUAGACAUACAUAUCAGCGUCUUAACCUAGUCUUACAAAACAACAAAAAAGCGAAUGACAACUGCUUAAGGGGGCACGAGCGAGUAAGCUGUGGCAGACUCAUUCUGCAAGCUACCUACAAGCUAACGACGCUAGCUAACAUCAGCUUGUGUUGAACCGCAUAAAGGAGUCACUAUCUGCAAUGUAGCUAACUAGCGAAGUUAUAGGAAGAGCUUUGGCAUCAUUGAAAGGUGAACACUGAACAGCCUCACGUUAUAGGAUAUCCAAAUCAUCAAGGAAGAGAGACGUGACUUGCUACUAUUGGCUCAACGUCCGAGUUACACUGAAUGGGAUAAACAGCAUCUGAACAUGUGGACUGGUUUUGUGGAAUUACAGAAGAACUAUUUAAUUUAGCAUUUUAUUUGAGACUUUGAUAUAAUGUAUAUGGACUUACAUCCUGCACUGAUCAGCUUUAGUCUCCUCUUCCAAGUUUUCCAAAUGUUUCUCAAAAAAUGAAUCAUUUUUGAAAGCUGUAGUUACUGUUAGCUAGCUAACUUUAUUUUUGGCAACAUGUGAUCACACUAACAUUUUAUCACCUGAUUUGAACAAAUAUGAGUUAAUGGUAUCUGGGCAGUUAAAACCCCUACAAAAUCACUGAAUCCUUCCUAAGGGGAUCGUAGCAAAUCCACCCCAAAUGUCUCUUUUGUAAAGUCGGGCGAGAACUUCAUUGGAUUUCCUUCAACAUCUCUGAAGGAUUUAAUCAUUCUGGGAACUGGAAUUACGUGGCAAAAAUGGAAAGUUAGUUGCGAAUAUCAACGUCAACAUUUUGUAAUUGAC